rnacentral:rRNA from 1 species
GACGAACGCUGGCGGCGCGCCUUACGCAUGCAAGUCGAACGGACCUUCGGUCAGUGGCGGACGGCUGAGUAACGCGUAGGUAAUCUGCCCAGUAGCAGGGGAGUAACCCUCCGAAAGGAGGGCUAAUACCGCAUGAGUCCCCACGGCGUGAAAUAGCGGUGGGGGGAAAGGGGAACGACGACGAACUAAGUCGGCCGUACC